rnacentral:rRNA from 1 species
GACGAACGCUGGCGGCGUGCUUAACACAUGCAAGUCGAACGGUAAGGCCCCAGCUUGCUGGGGUACACGAGUGGCGAAGGGGGGAGUAACACGUGGGUGACCUGCCCCGCACUUCGGGAUAAGCCUGCGAAACUGGGUCUAAUAUCGGAUAGGACCGCACCGAGAGGGUGUGGUGGAAGGUUUUUCGGUGUGGGAUGGGCCCGCGGCCUAUCAGCUUGUUGGUGGGGUAAUGGCCUACCAAGGCGGCGACGGGUAGCCGGCCUGCGAGGGUGGACGGCCACAUUGGGACUGAGGCACGGCCCAGACUGCUACGGGAGGCAGCAGUGGGGAAUAUUGCACAAUGGGCGGGAGCCUGAUGCGGCGACGCCGCGUGGGGGAUGACGGCCUUCGGGUUAUAAACUCCUUUCGCCAUCGACGAAGGUUUUCUGACGGUAGAUGGAGAAGAAGCACCGGCUAACUACGUG